rnacentral:rRNA from 1 species
ACUACGGGGUGCAGCAGUGGGGGAUAUUGCACAAUGGGGGGAACCCUGAUGCAGCGACGCCGCGUGGGUGAAGAAGCGCCUCGGCGCGUAAAGCCCUGUCAGCAGGGAAGAAAAUGACGGUACCUGAAGAAGAAGCCCCGGCUAACUACGUGCCAGCAGCCGCGGUAAUACGUAGGGGGCAAGCGUUAUCCGGAUUUACUGGGUGUAAAGGGGGCGCAGACGGCGAUGCAAGCCAGGAGUGAAAGCCCGGGGCCCAACCCCGGGACUGCGCUUGGAACUGCGUGGCUGGAGUGCAGGAGGGGCAGGCGGAAUUCCUGGUGUAGCGGUGAAAUGCGUAGAUAUCAGGAGGAACACCGGUGGCGAAGGCGGCCUGCUGGACUGCAACUGACGUUGAGGCCCGAAAGCGUGGGGAGCAAACAGGAUUAGAUACCCCAGUAGUC